UGUGUAGGUGGCGCUGUAAGUCGGGUGUGAAAUCUCGGGGCUUAACUCCGAAACUGCAUUCGAUACUGCGGUGCUUGAGGACUGGAGAGGAGACUGGAAUUCAUGGUGUAGCAGUGAAAUGCGUAGAGAUCAUGAGGAAGACCAGUGGCGAAGGCGGGUCUCUGGACAGUUCCUGACACUGAGACACGAAGGCCAGGGGAGCAAACG
rnacentral:rRNA from 1 species